GGCGAUCUGGAGAUGUGUAUUUGAUGAUGAAUGAUAUUUCACCUCGGCAUGUGCCUCGUCAUUAUUUUCUACUCAGACUGUCUUCUGGUUUUGUCAAUUUUACUUACUUGAUGGACCAGGCCGGCUCUACUGGGACUUUGCUAGUCGAACUGACCCGGGCUAAGAGCUCGGAGUCUGGUUAAGCUUCUGACUUGCGAGUUUUUCUUACUCCCAUGAGGGCAUUUCUGUUUUUGACUCACGAUCUCGUCACUGUUG
rnacentral:lncRNA from 1 species